UAUGCCCAUAUCACAUUGAAACACCGGCUCUCGUCAGAUUACCGAAGUUAAGCAAUGUUGAGCCAGGACAGUACUUGAAUGGGUGGCCGCUUGGGAAUAUACCAAAUGCUGUA